rnacentral:tRNA from 1 species
GCCCGGGUGGCUCAGUCGGUUCAGAGUCUCCGACUUCGGCUCAGGUCGUGAUCUCAUGGUUCGUGGGUUCAAGCCCCACAUCAGGGCU